GCGGGAUGUGAAAGCCCCGGGCUUAACCUGGGAACGGCAUUCCGAACUGUCGGGCUAGAGUAUGGCAGAGGGUAGUGGAAUUUCCUGUGUAGCGGUGAAAUGCGUAGAUAUAGGAAGGAACACCAGUGGCGAAGGCGGCUACCUGGACCAAUACUGACACUGAGGUGCGAAAGCGUGGGUAGCAAACAGGAUUAGAUACCCUGGUAGUCCACGCCGUAAACGAUGUCAACUAGCCGUUGGGACUCUUGAAGUCUUAGUGGCGCAGCUAACGCACUAAGUUGACCGCCUGGGGAGUACGGCCGCAAGGUUAAAACUCAAAUGAAUUGACGGGGGCCCGCACAAGCGGUGGAGCAUGUGGUUUAAUUCGACGCAACGCGAAGAACCUUACCUGGCCUUGACAUCCAGAGAACUUUCCAGAGAUGGAUUGGUGCCUUCGGGAACUCUGUGACAGGUGCUGCUUGGCCGUCGUCAGCUCGUGUCGUGAGAUGUUGGGUUAAGUCCCGUAACGAGCGCAACCCCUGUCCUGGUUGCUAGCAGGUAAAGCUGAGAACUCCAGGGAGACUGCCGGUGUAAACCGGAGGAAGGUGGGGAUGACGUCAAAUCAGCACGGCCCUUACGCCCAGGGCUACACACGUGUUACAAUGGCCGGAACAAAGAGCAGCUCCUACGCGAGUAGAUGCUAAUCUCUAAAACCGGUCUCAGUUCGGAUCGGAGUCUGCAAUUCGACUCCGUGAAGGUGGAUUCGCUAGUAAU
rnacentral:rRNA from 1 species